rnacentral:lncRNA from 1 species
UGUAUCAAGAAAGUGAGUGAAGAUUGUGGGCUGUGAAGGUCAACUUCGUUAUAACCCAAUUAUAGAGUUAACCUAGAAGAGAGUCGUAGGUGGAGAUGUAGCCAAGCAAGAUUUUUUCCCAAAAUCAGAUUUACGUAAUAGCAAUAAGAAUUCAUUGUUGAACUUAACCUGGAUAAUGAUUGGAACAUCAAUGACAUUGGAAUUUUAGGAUUCCAAAUUACUGGGUUCAAAAUCUGGUAUAUAAAAACCACUCACAUUUCGGCCAUCACCCAAGCCUCUAGAUUUAAAAUUGCAAACAGUAACCAGUGGGUUCCUUUCCGAUGAUAAGACACUAUCACACUGUCAUGGGAUCAAGCUUCACUGUUCCAACCUUAAGAAUAAGGUUGUUCUACAAUGAAGUGUAAUGAUAGGAUAUAAUGUGUGAUGGAGGAAGCAGAUUAGAAAUAGUUGUUAGUUAGGUUGUUAGGAUGAGUGAGGUUUCCUUUAUAUAAUGGGGGGUCCUGGUAUGUAGGCAUUUUUUGAUAAUUUUGUAGAUUGAGCUUUAGCUCUUUGUGAAGGGGAAACCCUUGGAGGAGAGAGUGCUCUCCUAUUUUGUGUUCUUUUCAGUCUUUUCAAUAAAAUUAUAUCACUCUUCUUUCUCUUUUCAAUUCUGGGUUUCUAACAAAACACAAUAUAGCAGGUCAGAUAAUAGGUCAGCUAAGGAGGGAGAAGAAAUGUUAAGGCCUUGGACUACGAGGGUGGAAUUACCCACAUUUGAGGGGAAUUAUCCUUUAGGAUGGAUUUUAAGAGCAGAGAAAAUGUUUGAUGUUCAGAAUGACACUUCAAGGGAAAAACUGGGUUUGGCUUCCAUCUGCGUGAAGGAAAAGGCAAUGAUAAAUCAUGAGGGCGAUGAUAAAGUAGAUAAGAACAAUGAGCCAGAAGCUGUGGAUGAAUCACAUGAUUUAAGGUUACUAGAACAUACUGCAACUUUGACUCAUGUGGAGGCUGGUGAAGAUGUUGCAGCUUUGAUUCCUAUGUCACCUAUUAAUGAUGAUCGAAUGGACAUAAACGAAUGGGUUGAGUACAGCGGUGGUGAUGUGAACCAGCCUAUGAACGAUGAAACUGAACCUUUAAAUUUGACUUUUGUCAACAUAACAGAUAAAGAUUAUUAGUAUUUGCUUAAUGUUGAUGAAAAAAAUGCCAAAAAAAGGGACUCAAUGAUAGGAUUUUGAUGGAGUUCUUGAGCUUGAAUCGAAUUCCAAUUCAAUUGAGUCACAAGAUCUAUAGAAGCUAAACCAGAGCAGAUUGAAGUAGGGAAAACAUCUAUAGAAGCAGCGACACAAGAUCUCAUGGAAAGGGAUGAAGCACUCCAGCAGCUUAAAUUUCCGGAGUACAACGUUGAGGAAAGGGUUGUUUCAGCAUAGGAGAGAAUUGUUAGGCAUGUAAAUAAUGAGAAAGAAUGGAAUAGAUAUUAUAGAAGGAAUGAUAGCAUAUGGGAGGUUUACUGUAGAACGAAAUAAAAGGAAGCGGUGGAAAGGUAUGUGGAUGCAGUGCUGUCAGUUGGCAGUUGAUCUAUAUAAUUAGACCAAUCAGUUCCUUGUACGGGGCAUUCAUUUAUGUUGCAAGUCUUUGAUUUGUGACAGGGAAUACCCUGUGUGAAAGGAAGCUUUUCCUUUGUAAACUUUGGCUUAUACAGCUAAUAGUGAAUAAUUAAGUUUAGAAGUUUUUCUUAGUUCUUUUCAGUCUUGUUUUUCUCUUCACGGUUUCUGGGGCCUAAUGGUCAAUGUCGUGUUUGGUGUUGUGUUAGAGUUAGUGGCUAAUAGGUUAAGAGUAUCAAAACACGUUAAAACACAUAAUGAGGAAGGAUUCUUUUUUCUUUCAAACUUCGUUGAAAUAUUCUUGACUAAAUUCAUUUCAUGAUCUUGGGCUUAAACUCGAAAUUUACUGUAUAUUUCCCACUCCACAAAAAAGGAGAACAGAUAUGGCUAAUAGUAGUCUGUAUUUUAAUUGUGUGCUGCUACUAUAUCUAAUCAAGGCUUCUGUCAUAACUGUAGGAGGAUCGGCCAAGUAUUGAUGAGGCUCUUCAACAUCCUUAUUUCCAACAUCCCCGCAGAGAGUGAUUAUAUAGAAAACGAUAAGGUCUUCUCCACCGAUUUAUUCAUUUGCAGGUAAGUAAUCUGUGCCUCUAACUUAAAAGCUUAUGUUAGAAUUUUGUCUAUAAAACUUAGGUUAAAUAAGUUUUUAAUACCCUUAAAAUUGGUUCAAAUUGAAAUUUUUACAUCCAAAAUUUUUUCACGUUUUUUAGAUCCCUCUGUUCGUUACUAUCUUACUUUUGAAUUAAUUAUAUUAACAUGUUAAUUAUAACAAUGUCCCAUGAAAUGUCUAGUGAUUGAUUUUGUGAGACUCUUAAGAGUAACAAAGUUACUGCUUGGACCAAAGUAAUAAAGUUACUAUUUGGAUCAAAUUAUUAAAUAUUUAUAAAAACACUGAACAAAUUGUAGAGUUUCUAAAAACUUAAUCAACCCUAACUUUAGUCUUAUAACGUAAUGAAAUCCAUGCACUACUCUCAUUAUACAAAAUGCCAGUCACUUUCUUGUGUUAAUACAUUGAAAAAUGAAAUGGACAAGAACUGUAUGUAGUAAUACUUUUUUUGCAUAGUGUGGGACUAAAAUGGGUAUUUUAGAAUGUUAAAAAGUACUGUGAUCGACACUCAAUUGCGGCUUUUACAAUGAUUCUGUGUCUUCUAUUACUGAAAACGUGUCCCUGAACAGAAACAGGGCAGUUUUAUUUUGUCUAUAUACGUGGAGGAUUCGUGUUUGAUAAAAGAUGAGGCCAAAAAUACAAAUACUGACUAAUAAAUAGGGCCAUAGUCGCAUGGUUGACGACCCGGAGGAUCCUAUGAGCAUCGAAUGCUUCAUAUUCUACAUUGAAUUAUAAAAAAAGUUAGUGGUGUUUCUUUGUCUUGAUUUUAUAAAAGAAUAAAUGCAUUACAGCACAUGAGAGCGGAAACAACAUCAAUGAUAGGUUCUGCAGAUAUUUAUUCAUUUUGUUUAAAUGAACUUUGCUGAUUUUAGCUGCAUCAUGAACUAUAAUAUAUCAUUAUCCUUUACCUUAGUUGGUUGGCUGGUUCUUAAUGACUGCUAUUUCAUCUCAUUUCAUUUCCUUCAGAUAUGCUGUAAUGACAUUAUGAAAGUCAAUAUGCCUCUUCAAGGACAUCGAGGAAAGCUGAAAAUCUAGCGGGGCCGGUUGGCAUCGAAUAUCGUCUGUAAUUGGCAUGCAAACUUUAGUAGAAUGAAAGAUUUGGAAUUCAUGAAAGGCUCGUCAUAAAGAAAGAUCAAUAUUGCCUCUGCUUAGAACAGCCUUUACGGCGCAUUCGGCCAAACAUGAUGGAAUACUGGUCGGUGAAAAUUCGAUUUUUUAUUAUCCCAUACAAUAAAAUACAUUAAUGUGCUGUGUUAAUAAAAUUCCUUUGUAUAUCCGUGUAUAAGUAGAGUUCAUGUUCGUAAGGAAAUGCUUGCAAUUAAGAUUUUAAAAGUUCUUUUGUAAAAUAAAAAAAUUGAUAUUCAAUAUAAAUUAUGAGAAUAGGGUAAUAAACUUGUUAUUCAAUUGAGAUUGUAAAGGAUUAUUUUUCUAAUUUGAUUUUUAUGGAUUUUUGGGUUACUUUUAUCGAUCUCUUCUAAUUUCAAACUUUUUUUACACCCG